GGGGGAGGGUUGGGAUCCCGCUUACAUGUUUAACUCCGCCACAUUAUUUAUGUAUGUGCCUGUCCCAAUUCAGGAGCCUGUAAUUCAGUGGUUUUCGUUUGUUUGUGUGUUACAUAUUUGUUUUUCGUUCAUUUUUUUACAUAAAUAAGGCCGUUAGUUUUCUCGUUUGAAUUGUUUUACAUUGUCUUAUCAGGGCCUUUUAUAUCUGACUAUGCGGUAUGGGCUUUGUUCAUUGUUGAGGGCCGUACGGUGACCUAUAGUUGUUAAUGUCUGUGUCAUUU
rnacentral:lncRNA from 1 species